AGAACGAACGCUGGCGGCAUGCCUAACACAUGCAAGUCGAACGAGACCUUCGGGUCUAGUGGCGCACGGGUGCGUAACGCGUGGGAAUCUGCCCUUAGGUACGGAAUAACAGUGAGAAAUUACUGCUAAUACCGUAUGAUGUCUUCGGACCAAAGAUUUAUCGCCUAGGGAUGAGCCCGCGUUGGAUUAGCUAGUUGGUGGGGUAAAAGCCUACCAAGGCGACGAUCCAUAGCUGGUCUGAGAGGAUGAUCAGCCACACUGGGACUGAGACACGGCCCAGACUCCUACGGGAGGCAGCGGUGGGGAAUAUUGGACAAUGGGCGAAAGCCUGAUCCAGCAAUGCCGCGUGAGUGAAGAAGGCCUUCGGGUUGUAAAGCUCUUUUACCCGGGAAGAUAAUGACUGUACCGGGAGAAUAAGCCCGGCUAACUCCGUGCCAGCAGCCUC
rnacentral:rRNA from 1 species